rnacentral:rRNA from 1 species
GAUGAACGCUGGCGGCGUGCCUAAUACAUGCAAGUCGAGCGAACAGACGAGGAGCUUGCUCCUCUGACGUUAGCGGCGGACGGGUGAGUAACACGUGGAUAACCUACCUAUAAGACUGGGAUAACUUCGGGAAACCGGAGCUAAUACCGGAUAAUAUAUUGAACCGCAUGGUUCAAUAGUGAAAGACGGUUUUGCUGUCACUUAUAGAUGGAUCCGCGCCGCAUUAGCUUGUUGGUAAGGUAACGGCUUACCAAGGCGACGAUGCGUAGCCGACCUGAGAGGGUGAUCGGCCACACUGGAACUGAGACACGGUCCAGACUCCUACGGGAGGCAGCAGUAGGGAAUCUUCCGCAAUGGGCGAAAGCCUGACGGAGCAACGCCGCGUGAGUGAUGAAGGUCUUCGGAUCGUAAAACUCUGUUAUUAGGGAAGAACAAAUGUGUAAGUAACUAUGCACGUCUUGACGGUACCUAAUCAGAAAGCCACGGCUAACUACGUG